ACUGAUAUAACACUGUAUGUUUACUGGAAUUGAAAUAAAAACUUAAAAAAAAAUACCAUAAACUGGCUUAAAAAAUAAGUAUCUCCUUAAAUUCUGUGUGUGUUCAACUGACUUGAAAUCUUUUAAUGGGUGACUUACUAGAAAGCCAGUCAUAUUUCUCUUCUUUGACUUGAAUAAACUGUUAAAGAAUCAUCUUUUCUCCUUGUGUUCAAAAUAAGCAAAUUAUCCAGAUCAAGAGCGUUGUGUAG